rnacentral:lncRNA from 1 species
CAAGCUGCCACUGUCCAUCCUCUCAAUCCCAGGACUCGUUCAGAAACAGAGUGGGCACGGUCAGAGUUCGCACCUUCCAGACGAAGCCUGUGCCACUCCUGGGGCAGCUGAUGGGGUGCCUCACCCUGUGCUGCGCCGAGAAGGACAAGGACAUCAGCUGUGGGUCUGCAGAGGCUCUUCACGCCUUCCACAGGAUCGUGAUGGUGCGACAGAGCCACUUCAUGACACCUACCUAUCCGUAUCUCUUUCUGGAGCGGGAAUGCCCAAGCACCUUCCGGCCCAAGGACGCUGCUAACGAGCUGACGGUAUUUGGCAGCUUCCUCUUCCCCGUCGAGAGGACGAACUUCAUCCUCACCAUCUUGGAGGGCAUGACACACCCCAGGGUCUCCGACAAAAAGGUGGUUGCCCGUGUGUUGGAUAUGAUCACAGACUCAGACAUGGAGGAGGUGCCACGGGUCAUGCGGAUCAUCCAUGACUGCCUGGCGACGGUCAGAGAGGAAUCACUCCUGGACAUCCUGAAGAGGACCCUUUUCCAGAUCACCUCCUUGCACCCUGGGCACGCGGUCCAGGGCCUGCUGGAGGUCUUCCCGUGGUGCGACAGGGUUGCCACGGCCAUGUGGCAGACGAUGGUCUCCGAGCCCUGCGUUGCAGAGGACGUGCUGAGAAACCUGCUGAAGCAACGCAUAGGGCCUGAGCACGAUGUCUUUGGCUCACCCCACAGCUGUGUCCGUUCCUGGGCUGUGAGUUCCUGGACCAGGCCUCGCUCACCCCCAGUGGGGCUGCACUCCCCUCCCCAUCCCCUCCUCCCCUCUUCCUCUGUCCCCAGUCGACAGCCUCCCCUGGGGCUCCCCAGUCAGGGGGGCUGGGAGCCAGAGCCCAGCAGGGCCACAUGCACUGCUGGGGCCCCACUGCGCACAGGCACGCAGCCCACCCCUGCCCUGCCGCUCUCUGUCCUCCUCCCUCCCCGCCUGCUCCUGCCUUGCUGGGCAGCCCCGGGCAGGGCGGCUGCCUGGCCCAAGCAGGCUGCAAGGUUUGGCCCAGGGAGCUGAGGACAGCUGGCAAGACCCCCGGGGCCUGCUGGGCCCUUUGCUCUGGACACAAAAAGCUGGCUUGCCCAUGCCACAAAGCAGAGCCGAACCCAGGGAGCCGCUGGGACUGGGCCCCAGGCCAGGCAGCCAGGCAGCGGGCUCAGAGCGAUGCCUCACCCCCACCUCCCUCACCCCCCAACCCGCAAGCUCUGGCAGUGCUGCAGGGACACCCGUGCACUGAGAGCUGCACCUGACUGUUUUCUGCAGGUAACCAGCGCCAUGAACAAGAUCUUCCAGCUGCCCUCC